rnacentral:rRNA from 1 species
GGACUACUCGGGUAUCUAAUCCCGUUCGCUCCCCUAGCUUUCGCACCUGAGCGUCAGUAACUUGCCAGGACGCUGCCUUCGCCUUUGGUGUUCUUCCAGAUCUCUACGCAUUUCACCGCUCCACCUGGAAUUCCGCGUCCCUCUCAAGCCCUCAAGUGCAGCAGUUUUCCGAAUAGUGUGAUGGUUAAGCCACCACCUGUCACUCAAAACUUACUGCACCGCCUGCGUGCUCUUUACGCCCAAUAAAUCCGGACAACGCUUGCCCCCUACGUAUUACCGCGGCUGCUGGCAC